GUCAAAAUUUUGUUCUACCAUUCAUUCAUCUAAUAAUCAAAAAACCUUGUGCAAAAAUAAACAAAUAAUUUUCUGUACCGAUUGUAAUAAUUCAAAAACUACUCAAUUAUUCUCUUAUAUAAGUUUCUCUGUAAAAUACAUUCUCUGUAAUGGUUUAUCUGUAAUGACGUGGAACCGUUUCAUUGGCUUACCGAAAUUAAAUAUGGACAAGCAUGUGGAUCCAACUAAGACUCCAAUUACUUGGGAUACGCCAACGGUUAAUAUUUUAAAGAAAUCCGGUGCCGUGCGGAUAUGCGGAGAUAGAUUUUCGUUUAACAAUCAACAAAUAUUUAGCGCUAGAUAACCAUUUACUACCAACUUUCGUCGACCUGACAAAUAGGAUCGCGGGUGGUUUUGAUGCACAAUGACAAACCUGUCGUUGUGACACUGAAAACUCCCAAUCUUCGUCUAGAAUCCAAAGACCAACAAGAAUACACAAAUAUUGGAAUAAAGGAAAAAUAGAUAUAGUUACAGUGUUAUCAAUGCCUGAAAAACGACAAAUGAUAAUCAAAGACAUCGCAAAAUACGUUAAUAUGUCUACAGCAUCGGUUCAUAAAUUUAGACGCAACACAUUCCCAGAAAUAAAUGAAGAUCCUCUAAAAUAGUAUAAUAUUCAAAAAAGAGGAAGUAAGAAAAAAUUUUUCCCAUAUUUAAUACAUCCUUAGUUUAUUAAUGGAAUAUAACACUAUCCAGGAGAUAACAGAAAAUUUGUCCCCUGGUAGUCCAAAAACGGUAAUAACCAUUAGUAAAUAUAUCAAAAUAUAGGUUGGUCUAAAAAAGGAGCUGAGUAUAUCCUGAAACUGGAAUAAACUUGCAUGUUAUACCAAUCUACGCCUGGGCGUCAUACAAUGUCCGUCCAAUAAUAAAAAUCCCAUUCUCCAAGGGUAAAAAUAUACCAUCAUCGAGUUUGAGGAACUAAUAGAACGAUUUGAUAAUUUAAUUUUUUUAUAUAUAUAUUAUUUUAUCGAAAUUAAUAUAAAAGUUUAUAGUAUUAAUUAUCAUAUUUUUAUCGAAAUAACUGGAUACAAAUAAGAGAUUCUAAAAAAAUUUCUAUUAA